UUUUGAUAUUCAUAUGUAUGCUACCUGUCAAGAAUUAUUAAAAUUAAAAUACCGAGUAGUUUCUAGUUAUAUUGUUAAUUCAAUUUAAACUUUAAUCAAUCAUGAUGAGAUCGGCGUUGAUAUGAAUAAACUAAUUCCAACCUGUAGCAGCUGUUGCUCAUAAUCCUUAAUUACUAUCAAUUUUUCAAUUAUUAUGAUUAGUUAAAAGAAAAUUGAAGCCACAAUUAAAACAAAUAGCGUUUCUGUUAAGGUGAUAACUUAUUCCAAAUCAAGAUUUGAGAUUCCAGCGACUAAUAAUUGGAGACUUGUUUUUAUAUGGAUGGUUGUUAAAUUGUUUAAUGAGGAUGUUCAGUGACAAAAGGGCAUAUGAAGAUCACAUCACAUGUCACAAGUGAUACUCGGCAAUUUGAUUAUCUACUCCAUGACACUUCUCGAAAUUUUAUUGCAGCAAAGCUCUUGCUCAUCGGUGGUAGUUGGCAAGUCAAAUUCUCUUCCUUGACAUAAUAGUUUUGAUUCUCUUUUACUAAUCUUCAUAAUCAGCUGUGCUAUCUGACGGCGAGUAAAAUGACACAAUUACAAUUUUUUUUUAUACAAUGGUAUUAUUAAAAUUGUUGAAUGAAAACACCAUAUGAAUUAUGUGAUUUAUUUUAAAAUAUUUUAUAUUUUUGUUCAAUCAAUCAUAAAAUGUUAGAUUAGUUUGUAUAAAAAUAACAUAUAUGGGAGUUUAUAGAUAUAAUAUUACUCAUUUAGUGUUAAGAAACAAGUCAGAUCUAUUUCUAAAUAUUUAAAAUAAACACAAUUUUCAUAAUGCACAUGAGAGUAAUUGAUCCUUCAACUUAAAGAGGAAGACAAAAUAAGUAUCCACCAUUCAACCGAAGAAUAAUUUAUAUUUAAUUCUCCACUUUGAGCUAGCUAAGCGUUUGAACUAUGCUAGAUCAAAAUUGUAUGCAAGAGCACGAUGCAUUCAAAUGGAUAUUGUGGCUUGGACAUGAAAAUGAGAAUCUUUAUUUUCCACGUUAAUUGAUUGUUUGUUGCGGGACUAUGAAGCGACUUUAUAUCUGGGAUAGAGAAUUUCAAAUAAACAUUAUCAAUUACCAUUGAAAUUGAAUAAUAUAAUUUAAUUUGGUUGGACACCUGCUCCUUCAAGGAUUGACAAUAAUUCAAUUUUAGUUGCACCUAAUUAACCACGUGUUGCCGCAAACAUUGACAAUAAAACUCCAUUUCGUUGCAUUCCAGUUCAAUAACAGAGUGUACACAAUUCAAAAUUAAACUAAUUUUACUUCUUACGUGCUUUACUUAUAUUUCAAAAGACAAUAAGCGCUUUUUUUUUUUUUCUCACAAUAAGCUGUGAUAAGAGUUUUUUUCUCUCAGUUGUGAUUUUGGCUUUCAAACCCAAUACAGAAUACCACAAAAACCCAAUUGAGAAAGUAUCACUUCUCAAGUCCACCUCCACAUUUCGGUUAAUGGGUUACAUUUAUUCAUCAGUUACAAAGAAUGAUCCGUAUUCUCUGGAAGUUUUAUGAUUAAAGAAAGACAAAAGUUGUCCCAUUUAUUUAUUUAUUUUUUUUAAUCACUUAUAUGCAUUACACAAUCAUAACGUUAUUUAUAUUUUAUAUAACAAGUGUACCCACAAAUUAGUUGCUUCACCCACAAAUUAGUGGGCGAGAUACCUACUUUUACCCAAUUUUUAAUUAGAAGAGAAAUGUAAAGAAUCUUUAAAGGGACUCGAACCUAUGUUUUUACAUUAACGCGAACCCAUACCCUCACUAACGUGAGAACAUGGGUUCACCACUCUAACUCUGCCUAGUGGCAAGUUGUCCCAUUUAUUAAUCAUUAACGUGCCGUUGAAAGUAAAAUAAAAUUCAAGAGUAGAGUAUAAUAAUAAUAAUAAUAUUCAAAUUCUCUAACUUUAGAAAAUAGUUUUCAAAUCCAACUAUUAACCAGACACGGCCACUAACCAAAUUAUUUUAUUUUUUAGGAACCAAUUUUUUUAUUUUUAGGAUUAGGAUAAGUUAAGUUUUAGACACAUUGAAACAAUGACAUUUGAUAUUUUUUAUAAAUAUAUAUUUAUUUAUUUUUAGUUCGGUUAGAUUACCUCGGUCAAGUUUUCCUUAUCCAAUCCAAACCCCAUAAAAAAUUGGAUUGGAGAUUCUAAACCCAUCCAAAAUCAUUCUGAACUCAUCUUAACCCAAACAAUUUAUGUUGGGUUGGGUUUGAGUUAUGAGUUAUGGGUUUUUUGGCCAUAUGACUGCUUGUAUUCAUUUUUUUAAUUAAUAAUAUUAACUCUUGACUAAUUGAAAUUUGAACCGCAACCUGCGACUUUGAAAGACGGUUCUUUAUCACUGGAAUUGCACCUUUGCUUCGGCUCAUAGCCAUUUGAAUAUUUUUGUUCUCAUAAACAAUAUAACUUUUGUACUUAAAUUAAUCCAAGUACUCCAUAAAUUAAUCCAAGUACUCCAUGCAUCAUUUGGUUCAUUUCUUUGUCUUUUAAUAGAAAAAUAGGUAUAAUGAUGAUUUGUUUUUGUAAUCUUAUUAAAAAAAAAUUGUCUUUCUUUCCAUUUUCUUUACCAUUAACGACCAGCAAAAUGCUCGACGUCCAUUUCAAAAGUCUUUUCUUGGCUUUAAAGAAUCUUUUGUUUAACAUUCUUGCUAACUUUUUGAGAUAUCAGUUUUAUUUUCAAGCUCAUGAUCAUUCUUGAAAAUUAUCAUUUCUCUUCGAAGUGUAGAAGUUUUCUUUUCAAACGCAAAAAAGAUAUAACUCAAUUCUUCAUAUUAUUUUCUUAUAAUUAUAUAAGCAAGCGAUAUAUGAUCAUAAUAGGGUUCAUGAUCAAGUUCAAGAAAGUUUACCUCAUUGUCUUCAAUGCCAAUGAUGAACAUAUAUCCAUCAUUCAUCGGUAUCAUAAUCAAAUCAAGUAAGUUUGCCUCAUUGUCUUCAAUGCCGAUUAAGAACAUAUAUCAUCAUUCAUUCGUAUCAUUCCAUGUAGCCUUCGUGACUUUCGGUCUUUCAUAAUUUUUUCCGUAGUAUUUUAGCAAGAGGCAUUCUAUUUUUGUUUUAAUGCCUAGUUUCUUGCAGUUGCGGAAAAAUAAUUUAGGGGGGCUAAAUUAAAUAACAACAAAAUAUAAAAACUGAAAUUUGAAUAUAUAAAAUUUUUUAUAACACAUUUACAAUUGUUUUCUAUGCGAUUUCAUAUUCUCAAAACAUUGUGCAAUAGACUAAUUAUCAACACUAUUAAAUACAUUUUUUUCUACAUAAACAAUCAAAUUAUUAUUCAUCCAUUCAUCUCCCAUCCAAUUCCGAAAUUCAUUCUUCACAAAUUUCAUUGCUGAAAAUGUUUUCUCUACUGUGGCUGUAGAAACUGGAAGAACGAGACUAUUUGAUAAUUUGACAGGGAUUAUUUAAAAAUUUAUUAAUUUUUCUUUUAAAUAAAAAGGGAUAAUUUUUUUUCAGUGGGGGCUUGAGCCCCCGCUGGUCCUACACUGCAUUCGCCUCUGGUUUCUUGUAUGCAUAGCAAAUAAUUUAAUAGUCGAAAAAAAUAUUUCCAUAACGCAUAACCAAACUAAAUCCAAAUUUAGUUAAGCAGUUUCGGUAGACCUUAAAUGUAACUUAAACCAACCUACACCCACUCCCAAUCAUUGUCAUAGAUUGAUAGAUUUGACGCACCAUAAUUUUACCCAAUAAGUAUAUCUUUGACACCACAGGGAUUUAAAAUAAAAAAAUCAAUAAAAAAAUUAACAAUCUACUAACAUGUGUGCAUACAAUCCAUUAACUUCUGUAAUGGUUGUUUUGGGGACUUCGACGCAUCCAUGUGUCUCAUUCAAAUUGGUUGGAGAUAAUCCUCCUUCAACUAGGAAUAGGUUUUGCGUAUGAUCUAAGACCUGAGCUCAAUAUGGUCCGCGAACCUGUCAUUCUUUUGAUAGUUCAAGGACUCAAGUCUACAAGAUUGUUUAGGCGUUGAUUUUGUUUGAAUAAACUUGUGUUGAAGCUUUGACUAGACUGGUUUGUCAAAUGGUGGAUUUAGACUUGAAUAGUUGUGGCACUGCUGUGAGUAGUGGUAUGGGAGCAUAUUACACAAGUGAAUAAAGGACAAUUAGGGUUUAGGAUCCUCCCUUAAUAACUAAUAUGGCAAUAAACUAAAAAAAAACAUUAAUCUGGUCUAAAACUUAAGGAUGGAAUUUGGGAUAAUGCCAACCCAAAAAGUGUGAUUAAUUAGAUGGUGUUUAGGAUGGUUCUAACACUAGUUUGCGAGAAUAAAAGAAUUUAGGUGGUGAAUUCAAGAAUGCUUCCAUAACAAAUCCUUCAAUUUAAGGUCAGGUUUGAGGGUUUAAAGGCGUUUAUGCUGUGUUUAUUUUUUGGAGUGGGAGUGAGGAGUGCAGAUUCCUCCCACUCCAGUGUUUACUUCACUAAAUUGGGGAGGGAUUGGGAAUCCCACUCUGUGGGCCCCACCCAUUUUUAGAGUGGAGAGUGGGAGUGGGACUCCCAUUGAGGGAGGUGAGAGUGAGAAUCCACUCCCACCUCUCCAUUUUCUA
rnacentral:lncRNA from 1 species